ACCGGAGGAGGCAAGGGAGCCUCGGAGCCGGCCGCUGCCUGCCUCUGCCAGUGCCUCUAACAGUACCUCUAACCCUGAUCCGGAGGAUGCUGCUUUCCAUUCUCCAUCACCCCCGUGCGAGGGAGCAGCGGGUUGCUCUCCCAAGAGGCUGGAGGGCCCAGCGACUGGCAGCGGACACGAUAAGCGGAACACGUUUUAAGAAUAACUUGGUGGUACCAACGAAGGGGUGGAAAUGCCUGUGUUUGCAGUGGCAGUCCUUCUCCUGUCUCUCCCUCCUUCUCCUCAAUGAGAUGGAAUUCCCAAAGAUCCAUAAUUUAAUCCCACCUUUAAUCCCACCAUCUGCCUGAUAUGGAGUCACUCCAAGUCCUACAGCAUGCCUGCAUGAACACGAGUUCUGCUGCAGGAAUUUUGCAAUCUGCUUAUUGACCAGUCUAGGUUGUAUCUUUCACUGGAAAAUCUUUCCAAAGAUGAAACUGAAGAAACAUUGGAACAUGUGAAAACAACAAAAAAUACCUUAAAAAGCUUUAAGGAUUCAUUCUUCAGUCAUAGAAACAGAUCGGAAAGUUACUUCACCUGUGUCAUGGAAUUUAAACCAGGGGAUUUCAGACCUGAGAUAUUUUUUUCCAGAUUUGAUAUGUUUCCCAACCACUCACUGAACACUGAGGUAUUACUAAUAAUCUAUCUUGUUGAUAAUAAUUAUAAAAAUAUUAUUUGAGAAAUAUGGGCUAUUCUCAGUUAUAGAGACAGCAUGACCUGGGUUUCUAAUUUCCAGAAUGAAGAAUUACAAUGCAGAGGCAGUGUUGAGUAGGAUGCAAAUAUUGUAUGCUGUGCAAGGAGCAGGCUGGUAUUAACAACAAGAAGAAAAAAAAAUAAAAAAGAAAAAAAGGUGUUUCCUGAAUCUGGCCCUUCCCGAGAUUUUUAAAGUUGCUUGAGUGAAGUGCUACUCUUCAUAUACUUGGCUAAGACUCCAUAUGUGUCCAUAGCUAGGAUUUUCUCUUGAGUGCAGCACCUUUAUCUGUUUGUGUUUUGUUUUGUCUUGUUUUGUUUUCAAGAACUGAGAUGAAGUCAUCCACUUACAGCUAAAAAAAAAUGUGGUGUUUUAGGUUACAGAUUGGAUGAGACAAAAUACUCUACACCUCUGCUUUUAAGUCUGUGCCAGCAAGCAAGAAAAGAUGAAAAAUCUGUGGCCAGAUAAGGAAGGUAGAAUGUUGUUUUCUACUCUUGUGGUUAGGGUGUUUGUGUAGAGCAGGAGCAGUCAUAGGUUCUUGUUCCUGCUGCCAGGAAUUUUUUGUGCUUUUCUGAGCCUGGAAGCAGUUGUAGCAGCAAUGUGGGCUGCCUGCUGAUUAAGGUGACCUUGUGAGGAGUGGGAGAUUCACUUUAGGGAUCUGAGCUGGAAAAUGAUGCAUUUUAGCUCUGCAAUUAUUUAGCUAGUGUGCCUCUCCAUCCUACCACUCUAAAAUAUUAUCAGAGGGUAUGAAAUGUAGUCCCACAGUGUCUGGCAAUGCCUACCAGAGCAAUCUCUGGAAGGGUUUUGGGGUAAAUGCAUGGGCUCUUGACUGUCUAUUGGCAGACAGAUAGGUCGUGGGCUCAGGCUGGAUGGUUGUUGAACAUGCUUAGGAACAAAACCACACCAGCAAUUUUGCAAGAGCAGCUGUCAGAGGCAUCACAUACAGCCACUACACAUAAACCAACUGGUACUGGCAGUUGUGUUUCCUGACAUUCAGGUGGUAGCCACACUGAGUUUACUGUGGUCAACCUGAAUCGAGACUUGAGGCACCUGAGGAAGGCUGAGUGGAACAGAGAGCCCUGCCUUGCAGGAGCAGGUCCCUUCAUGGUGAGGAGGCAGCUGGGUGAUGUAUUGUAGGUCACAACUGAGUCUAGGUGUCCACGGCGCACCAGGAGUCUGCUUGAUGAACCUGCAACUGUUUUGCUGUUGAAUAGAUGUUGCAUAUUUCUAAACACACUAGGAACCAGCUAUUUCCAACCCUCUGGGGCACAAAACAGUUACUUCAUUCAAGUGAAAUCGGAGACCAUAGAAAUUAAUUUGGCAAAUGUUACAAAAGAGGUUAGAGUGGGUUCACUUUUACUCAUCUUAGAAAGAUUUAUGUUUAAUUUUCAGAGCAGCAUUUAGUGAACAGCUAUGUUAAUAAAUCAUGUUUAUACUCGAAAGUAUGUUUAUUAGUGUUUACUCACUUUAGCUCAGACUUUUUUUAACUUAAUCUGAUAAAAUUAAAAUAUAAUUAAAUUUGUAUGUACUAUAGGACAAUUCAUUUCCACUUGUAUUUUAAUCUUAUA